GAUGAACGCUAGCUACAGGCUUAACACAUGCAAGUCGAGGGGUAACGAGAGGAAAGCUUGCUUUCCUUGUCGACGACCGGCGCACGGGUGAGUAACGCGUAUCCAACCUGCCCCCAACUAGGGAAUAACCUUGCGAAAGUAAGACUAAUACCCUAUAAUUUCCUCAGAUGACAUCUGACGAGGAAUAAAGAUUUAUCGGUUGUGGAUGGGGAUGCGUCUGAUUAGCUUGUUGGCGGGGUAACGGCCCACCAAGGCAACGAUCAGUAGGGGUUCUGAGAAGAAGGUCCCCCACAUUGGACCUGAGACACGGUCCAAACUCCUACGGGAGGCAGCAGUGAGGAAUAUUGGUCAAUGGGCGGAAGCCUGAACCAGCCAAGUAGCGUGCAGGAUGACGGCCAUAUGGGUUGUAAACUGCUUUUAUACAGGAAUAAAGUUAGCCACGUGUGGUUAUUUGUAGGUACUGUAUGAAUAAGGACCGGCUAAUUCCGUGCCAGCCGCCGCCGUAA
rnacentral:rRNA from 1 species